GGUGAACGCUGGCGGUAGGCCUAACACAUGCAAGUCGAACGGCAGCACAGAGGAGCUUGCUCCUUGGGUGGCGAGUGGCGGACGGGUGAGGAAUACAUCGGAAUCUACUUUUUCGUGGGGGAUAACGUAGGGAAACUUACGCUAAUACCGCAUACGACCUACGGGUGAAAGCAGGGGACCUUCGGGCCUUGCGCGAUUGAAUGAGCCGAUGUCGGAUUAGCUAGUUGGCGGGGUAAAGGCCCACCAAGGCGACGAUCCGUAGCUGGUCUGAGAGGAUGAUCAGCCACACUGGAACUGAGACACGGUCCAGACUCCUACGGGAGGCAGCAGUGGGGAAUAUUGGACAAUGGGCGCAAGCCUGAUCCAGCCAUACCGCGUGGGUGAAGGAGGCCUUCGGGUUGUAAAGCCCUUUUGUUGGGAAAGAAAUCCAGCCGGCUAAUACCUGGUUGGGAUGACGGUACCCAAAGAAUAAGCACCGGCUAACUUCGUGCCAGCAGCCGCGGUAA
rnacentral:rRNA from 1 species